UUACUGCUCUCGCUAUUAGAUGAGCCUAAGUCGGAUUAGCUAGAUGGUGGGGUAAAGGCCUACCAUGGCGACGAUCUGUAGCUGGUCUGAGAGGAUGAUCAGCCACACCGGGACUGAGACACGGCCCGGACUCCUACGGGAGGCAGCAGUGGGGAAUAUUGGACAAUGGGGGCAACCCUGAUCCAGCCAUGCCGCGUGUGUGAAGAAGGCCUUUUGGUUGUAAAGCACUUUAAGCAGUGAAGAAGACUCCAUGGUUAAUACCCAUGGACGAUGACAUUAGCUGCAGAAUAAGCACCGGCUAACUCUGUGCCAGCAGCCGCGGUAAUACAGAGGGUGCAAGCGUUAAUCGGAAUUACUGGGCGUAAAGCGAGCGUAGGUGGCUUGAUAAGUCAGAUGUGAAAUCCCCGGGCUUAACCUGGGAACUGCAUCUGAUACUGUUAGGCUAGAAUAGGUGAGAGGAAGGUAGAAUUCCAGGUGUAGCGGUGAAAUGCGUAGAGCCCNUNANUAUUUUCCGAAUUGCGAANGCAGCCUUCCUGGCAUCAAUAUUGACACUGUAGGUUCGAAAGCGUGGGUAGAAAAAAAAGAAUAGAUACCCUGGUAGUCCACGCCGUAAACGAUGUCUACUAGUCGUUGGGUCCCUUGAGGACUUAGUGACGCAGCUAACGCAAUAAGUAGACCGCCUGGGGAGUACGGCCGCAAGGUUAAAACUCAAAUGAAUUGACGGGGGCCCGCACAAGCGGUGGAGCAUGUGGUUUAAUUCGAUGCAACGCGAAGAACCUUACCUGGUCUUGACAUAUCUAGAAUCCUGCAGAGAUGCGGGAGUGCCUUCGGGAAUUAGAAUACAGGUGCUGCAUGGCUGUCGUCAGCUCGUGUCGUGAGAUGUUGGGUUAAGUCCCGCAACGAGCGCAACCCUUGUCCUUAGUUACCAGCGGGUUAAGCCGGGAACUCUAAGGAUACUGCCAGUGACAAACUGGAGGAAGGCGGGGACGACGUCAAGUCAUCAUGGCCCUUACGACCAGGGCUACACACGUGCUACAAUGGUAGGUACAGAGGGCAGCUACACAGCCGAUGUGAUGCGAAUCUUAAAAAGCCUUAUCGUAGAUC
rnacentral:rRNA from 1 species